CGUAGGGGCGAGCGUUAUCCGGAAUUAUUGGGCGUAAAGCGCGCGCAGGCGGCCGAUUAAGUCAGGUGUGAAAGGCUGCGGCUCAACCGCAGAGCGGCACCUGAAACUGGUCGGCUUGAGUGCAGGAGAGGGGAGCGGAAUUCCCGGUGUAGCGGUGGAAUGCGUAGAGAUCGGGAGGAACACCAGUGGCGAAGGCGGCUCUCUGGCCUGUAACUGACGCUGAGGCGCGAAAGCGUGGGAGCAAACAGGAUU
rnacentral:rRNA from 1 species